GGAAGUAAAAAUCGUAACAAGGUUUCCGUAGGUGAACCUGCGGAAGGAUCAUUAUUGUAUAACCGAGGUGCGAGGGCUGUCGCUGACCCGAAAGGUCGUGCACGCCCGAGUGCCCUCACACACAUCCAUCUCACCCCUAUGUGCACCACCGCGUGGGUCCCCCUUUGGCUUGUUCGGAGGGGGGCUUACGUUUUCACACAAACUUUGUAUGCAGUGUAGAAUGUAUUUUUUGUUUUUGCGAUCACGCAAUCAAUACAACUUUCAACAACGGACCUCUUGGCUCUC
rnacentral:misc_RNA from 1 species